UUUCCGCACUAACAGAAAGCAAUUCCUGCCCUAUGAUAAUAAAUAGCCGCAGUCCUCUGUGCUAAGGUAGCACAAUAACUUGCCUUUUAAUUGAAGGAUCGCAUGAAAGGAUACAUGACUUCUCCCUUUUUUCACUUAUUUAUAAUAAAUUUAUCCUAUAAGUAAAAAGACUUAUAUAACAAAGAAGGACGACAAGACCCUAUAGAACUUUACUAUUGUUAAACUGGGGAGGUUAAAAACAAAAUCUUAUUUUCAAAACUACAUACAGACCUGAUAACACUCAACAUAAAGAUCAAGUUACCUUAGGGAUAACAGAGUAAUAUCUUUUUAGAAUUUUCCAAGAAGAAGCUUUCUACCUCGAUGUUGAAUUAAUAUUACUUCAUAAAUAAAUAUUAUAUAAGUGGGUCUGUUCGACCUUUAAAAUAUUACAUGAUUUGAGUUCAGACCGGUGUAAGCCAGGUCAGAUUCUAUCCUCUUCUAUACUCGUUACAGUACGAAAGGACCUACCGAGAAAUAA
rnacentral:rRNA from 1 species